AUACUAACCAGUGACCGAUAGUGAACCAGUACCGUGAGGGAAAGGUGAAAAGAACCCCGGGAGGGGAGUGAAAGAGAACCUGAAACCGUGUGCCUACAAGUAGUCAGAGCCCGUUAGGGCGAGCAGUUGGCUGACGCAGACCCGAAACCAAGUGACCUACCCAUGACCAGGUUGAAGGCGCGGUAAAACGCGCUGGAGGACCGAACCCACGUAAGUUGAAAAUUGCGGGGAUGAGUUGUGGGUAGCGGUGAAAUUCCAAACGAACUUGGAGAUAGCUGGUUCUCUCCGAAAUAGCUUUAGGGCUAGCCUCGCAAAGAGGAUGCUGGAGGUAGAGCUCUGUUUGGACUAGGGGCCCGUCAAGGGUUACUGAAUUCAGAUAAACUGCGAAUUCCAGACAUUUAUGUGCGGGAGUCAGACUGCGAGUGAUAAGAUCCGUAGUCGAAAGGGAAACAGCCCAGAUCACCAGUUAAGGUCCCAAAAUUCAUGCUAAGUGGAAAAGGAUGUGGAGUUGCGCAGACAACUAGGACGUUGGCUCAGAAGCAGCCAUCAUUCAAAGAGUGCGUAAUAGCUCACUAGUCGAGUGACGCCGCGCCGAAAAUUUACCGGGGCUAAGCAUGAUACCGAAACUGUGGAUGUGCAUUUAUGCACGUGGUAGGAGAGCGUUCUAGCGGCGGUGAAGCAUGACCGAGAGGACAUGUGGAGCUUCUAGAAGUGAGAAUGCCGGUAUGAGUAACGAAAGACAGGUGAGAAUCCUGUCCGCCGCAAGACUAAGGUUUCCUGGGGCAGGCUCGUCCGCCCAGG
rnacentral:rRNA from 1 species